rnacentral:rRNA from 1 species
AUUGAACGCUGGCGGCAGGCCUAACACAUGCAAGUCGAGCGAGCGGCGGACGGGUGAGUAAUGUCUGGGAAACUGCCUGUUGGUGGGGGAUAACUCCUGGAAACGGUAGCUUAUACCGCAUACCAUCAGAUGUGCCCAGCUGGGAUUAGCUCGUAGGUGGGGUAACGGCUCACCUAGGCGACGCUCCCUAGCUGGUCUGAGAGGAUGACCAGCCACACUGGAACUGAGACACGGUCCAGACGCCUACGGGAGGCAGCAGUGGGGAAUAUUGCACAAUGGGCGCAAGCCUGAUGCAGUCAUGCCGCGUGUGUGAAGAAGGCCUUCGGGUUGUAAAGCACUUUCAGCGGGGAGGCGUUACCCGCAGAAGAAGCACCGGCUAACUCCGUGCCAGCCGCCGCGGUAAUUC